UUUUUACUCUUAGAAUUCUAAUACGGUAUUAGAGUGUUUUUUUUUGCUAGUUGCUGCGUUUUCACUAUGGAUUCUGUCAAUGUGUUGGAAUUGACAAAUAAAAUUUUCAAUCCUUUUACUUUUGCCUCUCAAAAGAUAGCCAUACUUAUCGAUGAUAGUAAUUUCCUCACUUAGAAGAAACAUGUUCUGCUCAUUCUGAAG
rnacentral:lncRNA from 1 species